ACGCUUCUUUUUCCACCGGAGCUUGCUCCACCGGAAAAAGAGGAGUGGCGAACGGGUGAGUAACACGUGGGUAACCUGCCCAUCAGAAGGGGAUAACACUUGGAAACAGGUGCUAAUACCGUAUAACAAUCAAAACCGCAUGGUUUUGAUUUGAAAGGCGCUUUCGGGUGUCGCUGAUGGAUGGACCCGCGGUGCAUUAGCUAGUUGGUGAGGUAACGGCUCACCAAGGCCACGAUGCAUAGCCGACCUGAGAGGGUGAUCGGCCACAUUGGGACUGAGACACGGCCCAAACUCCUACGGGAGGCAGCAGUAGGGAAUCUUCGGCAAUGGACGAAAGUCUGACCGAGCAACGCCGCGUGAGUGAAGAAGGUUUUCGGAUCGUAAAACUCUGUUGUUAGAGAAGAACAAGGAUGAGAGUAACUGUUCAUCCCUUGACGGUAUCUAACCAGAAAGCCACGGCUAACUACGUGCCAGCAGCCGCGGUAAUACGUAGGUGGCAAGCGUUGUCCGGAUUUAUUGGGCGUAAAGCGAGCGCAGGCGGUUUCUUAAGUCUGAUGUGAAAGCCCCCGGCUCA
rnacentral:rRNA from 1 species